CGGGGUAACGGCCCACCAAGGCAACGAUCAGUAGGGGUUCUGAGAGGAAGGUCCCCCACAUUGGAACUGAGACACGGUCCAAACUCCUACGGGAGGCAGCAGUGAGGAAUAUUGGUCAAUGGACGAGAGUCUGAACCAGCCAAGUAGCGUGCAGGAAGACGGCCCUAUGGGUUGUAAACUGCUUUUAUAAGGGAAUAAAGUGAGUCUCGUGAGACUUUUUGCAUGUACCUUAUGAAUAAGGACCGGCUAAUUCCGUGCCAGCAGCCGCGGUAAUACGGAAGGUCCGGGCGUUAUCCGGAUUUAUUGGGUUUAAAGGGAGCGUAGGCCGGAGAUUAAGCGUGUUGUGAAAUGUAGAUGCUCAACAUCUGAACUGCAGCGCGAACUGGUUUCCUUGAGUACGCACAAAGUGGGCGGAAUUCGUGGUGUAGCGGUGAAAUGCUUAGAUAUCACGAAGAACUCCGAUUGCGAAGGCAGCUCACUGGAGCGCAACUGACGCUGAAGCUCGAAAGUGCGGGUAUCGAACAGGAUUAGAUACCCUGGUAGUCCGCACGGUAAACGAUGGAUGCCCGCUGUUGGUCUGAAUAGGUCAGCGGCCAAG
rnacentral:rRNA from 1 species